UCAAAAACAUGUCUUUUUGAAAAUAAUUUAAAGUCUAAUCUGCCCACUGAUAAAAUUAUUAAAGGGCUGCAGUAUAUUGACUGUACAAAGGUAGCAUAAUCAUUAGUCUUUUAAUUGAAGACUUGUAUGAAAGAUUUGAUGAGAUAUAGACUGUCUCUAAUUUAUUAAUAAAAAUUAAUUUUUUGGUUAAAAAGCUAAAAUAAUAUUAAAAGACGAGAAGACCCUAUAAAGUUUUAUAAUUUAUUUAUUUAAUAUUAAUUAUAUAAUUAAAUAUAAUAAAUAAUUAAAAUUAUUUUAUUGGGGUGAUAGAAAAAUUUGAUUAACUUUUUUUAAAAAAUAAACAUUAAUAAGUGAAAUAAUGAUCCAUUUUUAAUGAUUAAAAGAAAAAAUUACUUUAGGGAUAACAGCGUAAUAUUUUUUUUUAGUACAAAUAAAAAAAAAAGUUUGCGACCUCGAUGUUGGAUUAAGAUAAAAUUUAAAUGCAAAAGUUUAAAAUUUUGAUCUGUUCGAUCAUUAAAAUCUUACAUGAUCUGAGCU
rnacentral:rRNA from 1 species